AGUGAACGCUGGCGGUAGGCCUAACACAUGCAAGUCGAACGGCAGCACAGUAAGAGCUUGCUCUUACGGGUGGCGAGUGGCGGACGGGUGAGGAAUACAUCGGAAUCUACUUUUUCGUGGGGGAUAACGUAGGGAAACUUACGCUAAUACCGCAUACGACCUACGGGUGAAAGCAGGGGAUCUUCGGACCUUGCGCGAUUGAAUGAGCCGAUGUCGGAUUAGCUAGUUGGCGGGGUAAAGGCCCACCAAGGCGACGAUCCGUAGCUGGUCUGAGAGGAUGAUCAGCCACACUGGAACUGAGACACGGUCCAGACUCCUACGGGAGGCAGCAGUGGGGAAUAUUGGGCAAUGGGCGCAAGCCUGAUCCAGCAAUACCGCGUGGGUGAAGAAGGCCUUCGGGUUGUAAAGCCCUUUUGUUAGGAAAGAAAAGCAGCAGGUUAAUACCCCGCUGUUCUGACGGUACCCAAAGAAUAAGCACCGGCUAACUUCGUG
rnacentral:rRNA from 1 species